UACGUAGGGGCCGAGCGUUGUCCGGAGUUAUUGGGCGUAAAGCGCGCGCAGGCGGCUUCGCGCGCCCGACGUGAAAGCCCCCGGCUUAACCGGGGAGAGUCGUUGGGGACGGCGGAGCUUGAGGGCGGGAGAGGUCGGUGGAAUUCCCGGUGUAGUGGUGAAAUGCGUAGAGAUCGGGAGGAACACCUGUGGCGAAGGCGACACGCUGGGCCGUACCUGACACUGAGGCGCGAUAGCAUGGGGAGCAAACAGG
rnacentral:rRNA from 1 species